AGCGAACGCUGGCGGCAGGCCUAGCACAUGCGAGUCGAACGAACCUUUCGGGGUUAGUGGCGGACGGGUGAGUAACACGUGGGAACGUGCCUUUAGGUUCGGAAUAACUCAGGGAAACUUGUGCUAAUACCGAAUGUGCCCUUCGGGGGAAAGAUUUAUCGCCUUUAGAGCGGCCCGCGUCUGAUUAGCUAGUUGGUUGAGGUAAUGGCUCACCAAGGCGACGAUCAGUAGCUGGUCUGAGAGGAUGAUCAGCCACAUUGGGACCGAGACACGGCCCAAACUCCUACGGGAGGCAGCAGUGGGGAAUCUUGCGCAAUGGGCGAAAGCCUGACGCAGCCAUGCCGCGUGAAUGAUGAAGGUCUUAGGAUUGUAAAAUUCUUUCACCGGGGACGAUAAUGACGGUACCCGGAGAAGAAGCCCCGGCUAACUUCGUG
rnacentral:rRNA from 1 species